rnacentral:misc_RNA from 1 species
GAUGAAGAACGUAGCGAAAUGCGAUAACUAGUGUGAAUUGCAGAUUUUAGUGAAUCAUCGAGUUUUUGAACGCACAUUGCGCCCCUUGGUAUUCCGAGGGGCAUGCCUGUUCGAGCGUCAUUAUAACCCUCAAGCUCAGCUUGGUGUUGGGGCCUGCUGCACUGGCAGCCCUUAAAAUCAGUGGCGGCGCCAUCUGGCUCUAAGCGUAGUAAUUCUUCUCGCUAUGGAGUCCUGGUGGAUGCUUGCCAUCAACCCCCAAUUUUUCUAUGGUUGACCUCGGAUCAGGUAGGGAUACCCGCUGAACUUAAGCAUAUCAAUAAGCGGAGGA